AAAUACUCCCGAGAGACCGAUAGCGAACCAGUACCGUGAGGGAAAGGUGAAAAGAACCCCGAGCAGGGGAGUGAAAUAGACCCUGAACCCGUCUGCCUACAAGCGGUCGGAGCAUCGUCAAGAUGUGACGGCGUGCCUUUUGCAUAAUGAACCUACGAGUUACCUUCCCCGGCAAGGUUAAGUACCUAAGGUACGGAGCCGAAGCGAAAGCGAGUCUGAAGAGGGCGGCCAGUCGGGGGGGGUAGACGCGAAACCGAGUGAUCUACCCUUGGCCAGGUUGAAGGUUGGGUAACACCAACUGGAGGACCGGAUGGGUAAGCGUUGAAAAGCUUUCCAAUGAGCUGAGGGUAGGGGUGAAAGGCUAAUCAAACUCGGAGAUAGCUCGUACUCCCCGAAAUGCAUUUAGGUGCAGCCUCUUUAUAGUAUAUCGUGAGGUAGAGCGACUGAUUGGAUGCGAGGGCUUCACCGCCUAUCAAGUCCAGAUAAACUCCGAAUGCGCGAUAUAUAUUUACAGGGAGUGAGGGCGCGGGUGCUAAGGUCCGUGUCCGAGAGGAGAAGAAUCCAGACCACCGGCUAAGGCCCCCAAAUGAUCGUUGAGUUGAACUAACGAGGUCGGAUCGCAGAGACAGCUAGGAUGUUGGCUUGGAAGCAGCCAUUCAUUUAAAGAGUGCGUAACAGCUCACUAGUCGAGCGAUCUGGCGUGGAUAAUAAUCGGGCAUAAACGAUCUGCCGAAGCCGUGGAUGUCGCAAGACAUGGUAGGGGAGCAUUCCAUGCGGCGUCGAAGAUGAGGGAUGACCCUUGUUGGAGCGCAUGGAAAAGCAAAUGUAGGUAUGAGUAACGAUAAGGGGGGCGAGAAACCCCCCCGCCGAAAGACCAAGGUUUCCUGAUCAACGCUAAUCGGAUCAGGGUGAGUCGGGACCUAAGGCAAAGCCGAACGGCGCCGCCGAUGGAAGAAUGGGUUAAUAUUCCCAUACUGCCUCAUGGAGUGACGUGGAGACGGAGAAGUGACAGUCCUGCCGGCUGACGGAAUAGCCGGUUGAAGGGUGUAGAUAUUGAUUCCCGUAGGCAAAUCCGCGGGGAGAGUCGAACCUGAGAGUAUACGGAGCGCUUGCGCAACGUAAUAUGGACGUAACCAUGCUCCCGAGAAAAUCCGCUAAACUUAUCCAUGCGGCACCCGUACCGUAAACGGACACACGUGGUCGGGUUGAGAAUACUGAGGCGCUCGAGUGAUUCACGGUUAAGGAACUAGGCAAAUUGACCCUGUAACUUCGGGAUAAAGGGUCCCUACCCGGUGACGGGAGGGCGCAGAGAAUAGGUCCAGGCAACUGUUUAACAAAAACACAGGGCUGUGCGAAAUUUCAAGAUGAAGUAUACAGCCUGACACCUGCCCGGUGCCGGAAGGUUAAGAGGAGAGCUUAUCGCAAGAGAAGGCUUGAAUUGAAGCCCCGGUAAACGGCGGCCGUAACUAUAACGGUCCUAAGGUAGCGAAAUUCCUUGUCGGGUAAGUUCCGACCUGCACGAAUGGUGUAAUGAUCUGGACACUGUCUCAACCGUGAGCUCAGUGAAAUUGUAGUAUCGGUGAAGAUGCCGAUUACCCGCGAUGGGACGAAAAGACCCCGUGAACCUUUACUAUAGCUUUACAUUGAAUUUGGGCAGACGAUGUGUAGGAUAGGCCGGAGGCUUUGAAGGGGGUACGCCAGUAUCCUUGGAGCCGCCGUUGAAAUACGGCCCUUCGGUUGUUUGAGUUCUAACUCCUAGGCAGGAGGACACUGUAUGGUGGGUAGUUUGACUGGGGUGGUCGCCUCCAAAAGCGUAACGGAGGCUUCUAA
rnacentral:rRNA from 1 species